AUUGAACGCUGGCGGCAUGCCUUACACAUGCAAGUCGAACGGUAACAGGUCUUCGGAUGCUGACGAGUGGCGAACGGGUGAGUAAUACAUCGAAACGUGCCCGAUCGUGGGGGAUAACGGAGCGAAAGCUUUGCUAAUACCGCAUACGAUCUACGGAUGAAAGCAGGGGACCGCAAGGCCUUGCGCGGACGGAGCGGCCGAUGGCAGAUUAGGUAGUUGGUGGGAUAAAAGCUUACCAAGCCGACGAUCUGUAGCUGGUCUGAGAGGACGAGCAGCCACACUGGGCCUGAGACACGGCCCAGACUCCUACGGGAGGCAGCAUUGGGGAAUUUUGGACAAUGGGCGAAAGCCUGAUCCAGCCAUGCCGCGUGCAGGAUGAAGGCCUUCGGGUUGUAAACUGCUUUUGUACGGAACGAAAAGCCUCUUUCUAAUAAAGAGAGGUCAUGACGGUACCGUAAGAAUAAGCACCGGCUAACUACGUGCCAGCCGCCGCCGCGGUAA
rnacentral:rRNA from 1 species